UACGUAGGGUGCAAGCGUUAAUCGGAAUUACUGGGCGUAAAGCGUGCGCAGGCGGUGAUGUAAGACAGAUGUGAAAUCCCCGGGCUCAACCUGGGAACUGCAUUUGUGACUGCAUCGCUGGAGUACGGCAGAGGGGGAUGGAAUUCCGCGUGUAGCAGUGAAAUGCGUAGAUAUGCGGAGGAACACCGAUGGCGAAGGCAAUCCCCUGGGCCCGUACUGACGCUCAUGCACGAAAGCGUGGGGAGCAAACAGG
rnacentral:rRNA from 1 species